UGAGGGCAAGGGUUCGGUAACUGAAAUCACAAAUGAUGAAUUAGUUGCAAUUCAACCUGUGGACACCGAUAUUCAAGCAUGUGUCAACACGCAUACUGAAUUUUCAACAAUAAAUGAUGUUUAAAGCGAUCAGAAGAAUGAUGUCGGAGGCAUAAUAAUGGAAUCUGUUCAAGACGUUGUUGAUGCACUAUUAUUUGGUUUGUCAACACCUCCAUCUAUAAAGUCAUUGAAUGUGGUAUUCCAAAUAUGACCAAGAGCCAAUGAAUGCUUCAAGGUGAUUAGUUUUUACCUGAUUUCUCAGAUGCUCAAGUUCGGGAGCGUAAAGCCAUGAAAGCACCAGUAAAAGGGACCGAAAGAAGUCAAGGGUUUAGGUUCUCGUACAUCAUAAAAUUUGGUUCAAGCUCUAAGGAUGAGGGCAAUUCCGAUAAUGAAGAGAAGCAGAAGUAUGCUUUCGAUGGUUGUACCAUUUGCUAAGAGUUGCCUAAUGAAUUGAUUUUCGAUUAUUCUCAAUGGCUUUCCGUAGGGUUAUUGAAAUAUCAUGCUGACAACAUUAGGUUAUCCACAGUUGGACUUCAUCAUUCCAUAGCCAUAGUCAAAGAAUUAGUUUUACUUGAUAUCACAAUGCAAAACAUGAUGGAACAAUGAGGUAAAUUAAACUAACUUUCUUCCAUAUCAUACAUGUUGUUACUGUUGGAAACUUAACUGUAAUACCAUAUCAUAGAUGUACUUAUUGUUAGAAGAUGAAGUUAAUUUUAGAAUCUGCAGUAAAAUCUUACAUCAUACAUAGAAAAUGAUGUAUAAUAAUGAAGUAACAUCUGAGGUAAAAAAAAUUGAAGUUGGAAUAUUGUAGAAUAUGCAUUAUUGUUAUACAUAAUACCAAAGUAAAAUAAUGUGCAAUAUACAUUAGUUUAUUAAAUACUAUCUGCAGUAAAUCAUUAUGUAUUAAACUGACGUUAAAUACCUCUAUUGUAGAAAAUAGGACUAAUACCUUCUGCAUAUGUAUUAUACAUUUCAAGCUAUGUAUAACAUAGUACAUACAUGUAGAACCUUUUUAUUUCUAAAAACUUUGUUUAACAUAUUAUCAUACAUGUAGCACCUUUUCUUAUCAUACAUUAAACAUGUGUUAAUAUGUUAUGUCUAAUAAUGAAGUAAAAUGAUGUAGCAUCUGCAAUUAAAUAUUGCUUCAUACAUAUAAACUGAAAUUUAAUACCUAAGAGUACAUGUAGCACCUAUUAUUGUUAGAAACUUAAUUGUAGUACCAUAUCAUACAGGUUUUUAGAGUCAGAAACUGAAGUUAUUAUUAGAACCGACAGAAAAAUAUUACAUCAUACAUAGAUAAGGAACUAUAAUACUUUAUCAUAUAUGUAGUGGCAGUCAUACAAACAUUAAUGUGAUACAACAGAUAUGUACUAAAAACUGAAUAAUCGGUUGUAUUACUACACAUGAUUUUUAUUUUUUACCACGUUUGCAUAUGUAGCAUUUAGAUGUGAUCUUCUACCACUUGAGAAAGAAAUCAAAGCUAUAAUUGUGUGAUGAUUAUAGAUAUACAACAAACAACUGCUUCUUUAAAAUAUAUAUCGAGAAGACAUAUAGUCGCUAUUAUGCAGAUUCUCCAACAGUUUAGAUACCCACACAAGAAAAAUAUGCAGAAUCAUAUGUUGUAGCUAAGAAUGAAGAUGCAAUUACAAAUACAAUUAAUGAAUUCUAUAUUCCUUCUAGAUUACCAUGACAUAUGAUCGAUGAGGUAUAUGUUUCAGUAAAUUGUGGUAAAAAAUUUCACUGGGUGUUGGCUGUGAUUGUGUUGAAGGAGAGAGUGAUGCGUGUGUAUGAUUCACUAUCAAGUACAAGGAAAAGAAAAUCACCAAAUAAAAUAUAAAAGUUGGCAGUGAGGCUGCCUACUUACUUGUAAAACAGAUAGCGAUUUUUUUAAAAAGACAGAGAGAACUGACUGGUCAACACUAGAAGCGUACAAGAAAAGCUUGGUCAGUGCACUCAGCUUAUCAAUCAAAAUUCAUUUGAUGUUGACUAUACUCAAAAUAUACCACAACAAACAUCUGAUAAGUUUGUAAGUGAUUUUGAUUUAUUUUUUUAUAGGUAUUAUCAUGUUAUAAUUAUUGAACGGACUGUUAUUUCAUUAUUUUUUUUUCAAAUAAGGGACUGUGGCUUCUUUGUGCUUGCAUAUGCUGAAAUAUUAAGUGAGGGACUGCAAGUGCAUUCAUGUGAUUUUGAUGCUGAAAGUCAACAUGCACGCUAUGCUUCAUUACUGUGGCAUUAACAAAGGCAAAUGAAGGGUUCAUUAGUGAUAAUGACAAUCCACCUCGUUCAAGAAAUAGUUAUCUCCAUUCAACUUAUGAAAGUGCAAUUGUUACUUUAGAGUAACACUUUUUUAUAAUAGUCUGCAUGGCAACAUCUAAUUAUUGUUUUAGUAGUUGAUGUUAAACAACUACAAUACUUGUUCAUUUUGUGGUGUUGGAUUUUAA